rnacentral:rRNA from 1 species
AACAAACGCUGGCGGCGUGCCUAACACAUGCAAGUCGUACGAGAAAGUCGGCUUCGGCCGAUGAGUACAGUGGCGCACGGGUGAGUAGCGCGUGGGUAAUCUGCCCCCCGGUCAGGAAUAACCCGCCGAAAGGCGGGCUAAUACCCGAUAACACUGACGCUCCGCGGAGCGUCUUUCAAAGGAGGCCUCUGUUUACAAGCUUUCGCCGGAGGAUGAGCCCGCGUACCAUUAGCUAGUUGGCAGGGUAAUGGCCUACCAAGGCUGCGAUGGUUAGCUGGUCUGAGAGGAUGGCCAGCCACACUGGAACUGAGACACGGUCCAGACUCCUACGGGAGGCAGCAGUGAGGAAUCUUGCGCAAUGGGGGAAACCCUGACGCAGCAACGCCGCGUGAGUGAGGAAGGCCUUCGGGUCGUAAAGCUCUGUCAGAUGGGAAGAAAUAGGGUGGGGGCGGUAAUAAUCGCCCAUCCUUGACGGUACCAUCAGAGGAAGCACCGGCUAACUCCG